AGGACGAACGCUGGCGGCGUGCUUAACACAUGCAAGUCGAGCGGAAAGGCCCUUCGGGGUACUCGAGCGGCGAACGGGUGAGUAACACGUGAGCAACCUGCCCUUAGCUUCGGGAUAGCUCCGGGAAACCGGAAUUAAUACCGGAUAUGACUAUGGCCGACACCAGCCAUGGUGGAAAGUUUUUCGGCUAGGGAUGGACUCGCGGCCUAUCAGCUAGUUGGUGAGGUAACGGCUCACCAAGGCGACGACGGGUAGCCGGCCUGAGAGGGCGACCGGCCACACUGGGACUGAGACACGGCCCAGACUCCUACGGGAGGCAGCAGUGGGGAAUAUUGCGCAAUGGGCGAAAGCCUGACGCAGCGACGCCGCGUGGGGGAUGAAUGCCUUCGGGUUGUAAACCCCUUUCAGCAGGGACGAAGCGAAAGUGACGGUACCUGCAGAGAAGCGCGGCUAACUACGCGCCAGCAGCCGC
rnacentral:rRNA from 1 species